GAUGAAGAACGCAGCGAAAUGCGAUAAGUAGUGUGAAUUGCAGAAUUCAGUGAAUCAUCGAAUCUUUGAACGCACAUUGCGCCCCUUGGUAUUCCAUGGGGCAUGCCUGUUCGAGCGUCAUUUGUACCUUCAAGCUCUGCUUGGUGUUGGGUGUUUGUCCCGCCUCUGCGUGUAGACUCGCCUUAAAACAAUUGGCAGCCGGCGUAUUGAUUUCGGAGCGCAGUACAUCUCGCGCUUUGCACUCAUAACGACGACGUCCAAAAGUACAUUUUUACACUCUUGACCUCGGAUCAGGUAGGGAUACCCGCUGAACUUAAGCAUAUCAAUAAGCGGAGGA
rnacentral:misc_RNA from 1 species